UUUCUACCAAUGAAGCAUGCAGACUAGCAUUACCAUGGAGCACUGAAUUUGUGACCCCCCACCCCCCACCCCCCCAAAUAUCCUGUCUCUUGAUGUUGACACUGAAGAAAAGUUGUGGUUAAAGGGACUGCUAAAAAAUUACUGCUGGAUUUUGAACCUGGAAUAUGCUGCUGUCCUGGAACAAGGCUGAAGUGAGGGUCACCAUAAGUGGGUAAAAUAAAGUAAUAAAUGAAAUGA